UGAGGAAUAUUGGUCAAGGGGCGAGAGCCUGAACCAGCCAAGUAGCGUGCAGGAUGACGGCCCUAUGGGUUGUAAACUGCUUUUAGAUGGGAAUAAAGUGAGGGACGUGUCCCUUAUUGCAUGUACCAUACGAAUAAGGACCGGCUAAUUCCGUGCCAGCAGCCGCGGUAAUACGGAAGGUCCAGGCGUUAUCCGGAUUUAUUGGGUUUAAAGGGAGCGUAGGCUGUUUGUUAAGCGUGUUGUGAAAUGUAAGAGCUCAACUUUUAGAUUGCAGCGCGAACUGGCAGACUUGAGUGCGCACAACGUAGGCGGAAUUCAUGGUGUAGCGGUGAAAUGCUUAGAUAUCAUGACGAACUCCGAUUGCGAAGGCAGCUUACGGGAGCGCAACUGACGCUAAAGCUCGAAGGUGCGGGUAUCGAACAGG
rnacentral:rRNA from 1 species